AAGUCGUAACAAGGUUUCCGUAGGUGAACCUGCGGAAGGAUCAUUAAUGAAACUUCCAAGUCGGCUCGUCUAUCUGUGCUGGUGGAGACACAUGUGCACGUUGGCGAGUCGCAAAUCCACACACCUGUGAAUCUAUGACUCUGAGUACCGCUUUGCAUGGCCUUCAGGGGCCUGGUACUCGAGUACUUUACACACUCUGAAUGUAAUGGAAUGUCUUUUUGUACAAUGUACAACUAAAAACAACUUUCAACAACGGAUCUCUUGGCUCUC
rnacentral:misc_RNA from 1 species